rnacentral:rRNA from 1 species
UACGUAGGCAGCGAGCGUUGUUCGGAGUUACUGGGCGUAAAGGGCGCGUAGGCGGCCUGUUAAGUCGAACGUGAAAUCCCCGGGCUCAACCCGGGAACUGCGUCCGAUACUGGCAGGCUUGAAUCCGGGAGAGGGAUGCGGAAUUCCAGGUGUAGCGGUGAAAUGCGUAGAUAUCUGGAGGAACACCGGUGGCGAAGGCGGCAUCCUGGACCGGCAUUGACGCUGAGGCGCGAAAGCCAGGGGAGCAAAGCGGG